rnacentral:rRNA from 1 species
UACGAAGGGGGCUAGCGUUGCUCGGAAUCACUGGGCGUAAAGCGCACGUAGGCGGCUUGUUAAGUCAGGGGUGAAAUCCUGGAGCUCAACUCCAGAACUGCCUUUGAUACUGGCGGUCUUGAGUCCGGGAGAGGUGAGUGGAACUGCGAGUGUAGAGGUGAAAUUCGUAGAUAUUCGCAAGAACACCAGUGGCGAAGGCGGCUCACUGGCCCGGUACUGACGCUGAGGUGCGAAAGCGUGGGGAGCAAACAGG